rnacentral:lncRNA from 1 species
GGGAGCAGGAGCCCGCGGCCGGCCAGCCGAAGAUGGUGGCGGCUACUCCUCCUGUCAUACACGUGGACCUAACUGCACCAGUAGCUUUUCUGAGAAUACUUGCUGAAAAGGAAGUUUUCUGGAAUGGUAUUUGCUAAGUGGAAGCCAGAAGAGGAGGAAAAUGUUUUGCCACGUGGAUGUGAAGAUUUCCUCUAAAAGAAAUUUAAGGAACUUAGCCUUGGAUUCCUGAAUAGAAAGGUAAGAAUUCUAUCAUUCUGGAGUUGAUGAAAACAUAAAUUUUCAGGAUGUGAAAUGAACAGUGAUUUAUAAAAUGGAAAUCAAAUUGUACAUUAGCAGAGUUCUUAAGCUUUUUGAAUUGAAGGAGACCUAAUAAUUGUGUCUUUUUGGUUAUUUAGUGACAAACGUGGCUUUCAAACUAUGCUUAAAAAGUUCCGGCUGGACACGGUGGCUCACACCUAUAAUCCUAGCACUUGGGGAGGCUGAGGCAGACGGAUUACCUGAGGUCAGGAGUUCGAGACCAACCUGGCCGACAUGGUGAAACGCUGUCUCUACUAAAAAUAUAAAAAAUUAGCCGGGUGCAGUGGCGUGCACCUGUAAUCCCAGCUACUCUGGAGGCUGAGGCAGGAGAAUCACCUGAACCUGGGAGGUGGAGGUUUCAGUGAGCUGAGAUCCUGCCACUGCACUCCAGCCUGGGCGCAAGACCAAGACUUAAACGCAAAAAAAAAAAAAAAAAAAAAAAAAAAGUUUCAUAAUACAGCAUGGUCUGGUAGUUUGCAAAAUGGUGUGCUUUUGGGGAGAUACACUAGCAAUUUUUUUAAAAACUGGAACAGUGUGAUAGGAAGCCUGCUGGAUGAUUUCUUAAAUAUUCUAAAAUGUAAGUCAAAUAUGUUUUAAUAACAAAGACUUAAAUGGCUUUUCUCCCUAGAGACUGAAACUAGUAUUCAUUGUGUUCAGAACUUAAUUGGGCUUGAACUGAGAUUUAAAUCUAAUAAACAAGUUAAUAAAUGUGUAUGUUUUGUUGUGGGUUUGGUAGUGAUCUGUGGUUCUAUAGGGUUUAAUAGGAAUUGCUUUUGAUUUGUUUCUGGCUUUAGAAUGUGAGGCAAAUUUUACAUUCUUGGUUCUAUUAAGAUUUUCUUAGGCAUGCUAACAUGCCAACAAAAAGCCAUGUAAGUAUUGUAUAAAAAGAUUCACAUUGUUAAUUUAGCCAUUUUGAAAUUCAGAUGAGUGAGCAAGUUGAUAAUGGCCUCAUCUCUGACCUGAGAAAAAACAACUUUGACCCUUGUUCUUAAAAUGCUUUAACCUUGAAGUUGCUUGAGACUUAAGAGGUCAUGUUGCUUUAGGUUUAAUAAAUAGCCUUAACUAUUUGGAGGGGAAAAAAUGGGUCAACUUUUUUUUUUUUUUUUGGCGUUUGCAUGUACAACUUUCUAUUUUUAGCCUAUAUUUGGAAAGAAAGCACUUAACAUUUUAGGAAUUCUUUUUAAAGCUGCUUGCAAAGUGUUGGUGAUUUUACUGAAAACUUUUGAGAUCUUCAUUUUACAGGCAGACCUGUCUAACUACAAGCCAGACUUGGGUUUUCUCCUGUAGUUUGAAGACACACUGACUCCUGACAAAAUGCAGCCUGCAACUUCCUGGAGAACAACUCAGUGUCACAUUAAAGUUUAUUAUGUAUUUAAUGAUACACUGUUUAAUUGACAGUUUUGCAUAGUUUGUCUAACUUUAGAGAAUUAAGAGCCUCUCAACUGAGCAGUAAAGGUAAGGAGAGCUCAAUCUGCACAGAGCCAGUUUUUAGUGUUUGAUGGAAAUAAGAUCAUCAUGCCCACUUGAGACUUCAGAUUAUUCUUUAGCUUAGUGGUUGUAUGAGUUACAUCUUAUUAAAGUCGAAAUUAAUGUAGUUUUCUGCCUUGAUAACAUUUCAUAUGUGGUAUUAGUUUUAAAGGGUCAUUAGGAAAAUGCACAUAUUCCAUGAAUUUUAAGACCCAUAGAAAAGUUGAAGAAUGCUUAAUUUUCUUAUCCAGUAAUGUAAACACAGAGACAGAACAUUGAGAUGUGCCUAGUUCUGUAUUUACAGUUUGGUCUGGCUGUUUGAGUUCUAGCGCAUUUAAUGUUAAUAAAUAAAAUACUGCAUUUUAAAGCUGUUAAGAAAUUGUCCAGAACGAGAAUAUUGAAAUAAAAACUUCAAGGUUA